rnacentral:rRNA from 1 species
UACGAAGGGGGCUAGCGUUGCUCGGCAUCACUGGGCGUAAAGGGUGCGUAGGCGGGUCUUUAAGUCAGGGGGGAAAUCCUGGAGCUCAACUCCAGAACUGCCUUUGAUACUGAAGAUCUUGAGUUCGGGAGAGGUGAGUGGAACUGCGAGUGUAGAGGUGAAAUUCGUAGAUAUUAGGAAGAACACCGGUGGCGAAGGCGGCCCACUGGCUCGACACUGACGCUGAGGUGCGAAAGCGUGGGGAGCAAACAGG